rnacentral:rRNA from 1 species
UGGGGAAUAUUGCACAAUGGGCGAAAGCCUGAUGCAGCAACGCCGCGUGAGUGAUGAAGGUCUUCGGAUUGUAAAGCUCUGUCUUUUGGGACGAUAAUGACGGUACCAAAGGAGGAAGCCACGGCUAACUACGUGCCAGCAGCCGCGGUAAUACGUAGGUGGCGAGCGUUGUCCGGAUUUACUGGGCGUAAAGGGUGCGUAGGCGGAUGUUUAAGUGAGAUGUGAAAUACCCGGGCUUAACUUGGGUGCUGCAUUUCAAACUGGAUAUCUAGAGUGCAGGAGAGGAGAAUGGAAUUCCUAGUGUAGCGGUGAAAUGCGUAGAGAUUAGGAAGAACACCAGUGGCGAAGGCGAUUCUCUGGACUGUAACUGACGCUGAGGCACGAAAGCGUGGGUAGCAAACAGGAUUAGAUACCCUGGUAGUCCACGCCGUAAACGAUGAGUACUAGGUGUAGGAGGUAUCGACCCCUUCUGUGCCGCAGUAAACACACUAAGUACUCCGCCU